CCCCGGCACCCGCGGACCAAUCGCUGCUCGGGGGAAGGCUCCAGGCCUAUAUAAACGAGUUACGCGCUGGUACGGGUCUUUCGAAGGAUCGUUUUCGCGUCUGUGGAUGACGCCCCGGGAGUGAUGGCUAAUGUUUUCCAUCGCGGUUUAUUGUUGAGCCAAUAAAGUCAGUGAACCCUAA